GGAGCGUGAAGCGCAGAAUCAAAUAUCGCUGUGAUGAUUGUACGCUCUAGUAUCAAUUGUUUGGCGACAGUAAAGUAUAAAACCAACCAUGCACACAUUGCCUGGAAAAGGGCAAAUACUACUGGGCCUGGCUUAAGGAUUGAUGAAAACAUUGGACCUGCUAAAAAGAAGAACCAUUGUAGAUGAGAGAAUGCAUAGAAAAAAGCACUGGGACCACGCACACUUUGGAAUACGAACAAAGGGAGACUGGCCAACAGGCAGAUUGACAGCUGAACAUCACCAGAGCCCAUCGUUUAUCCACUGAAGUGAAGAGGCAUCUUGUGAAGAACCGUAGAACCAUAGAACAUUACAGCACAGAAACAGGCCUUUUGGCCCUUCUUGGCUCUGCCGAACCAUUUUUCUGUCACUGACCUGCACCUGCACCAUAUCCCUCCAUACACCUGUCAUCCAUGUAUCUGUCCAUGUUUUUCUUAAAUGUUAAAAGUGAGCCCGCAUUUACCACUUCAUCCGGCAGCUCAUUCCACACUCCCACCACUCUCUGUGUGAAGAAUCCCCCCCUAAUGUUCCCUUUAAACUUUUCACCCUUAACCCAUGUCCUCUGGUUUUUUUCUCCCCUAGCCUCAGUGGAAAAAGCCUGCUUGCAUUCACUCUAUCUAUACCCAUCAUAAUUUUAUAUACCUUUAUCAAAUCUCCCUUCAUUCUUUUACGCUCCAGGGAAUAAAGUCCUAAGCUAUUCAACUUUUCUCUGUAACUCAGUUUCUCAAAUCCCAGCAACAUCCUUGUAACCCUUCUCUGCACUCUUUUAACCUUAUUAAUAUCCUUCAUGUAAAUUGGUGACCAAAACUGAACACAGUACUCCAAAUUCGGCCUCACCAAUACCUUAUACAACCUCACCAUAACAUUCCAACUCUUAUACUCAAUACUUUGAUUAAUAAAGGCCAAUGUACCAAAAGUUCUCUUUAGGACCCUAUCUACCUGUGACGCCACUUUUAGGGAAUUUUGUAUCUAUAUUCCCAGAUCCCUCUGUUCCACUGCAUUCCUCAGUGCCCUACCAUUUACCUUGUAUGUUCUACCUUGGUUUGUCCUUCCAAAUGCAGGUUGACUUGGACAGGUUGGGUGAGUGGGCAGAUGCAGUUUAAUGUGGAUACAUGUGAGGUUAUCCACUAUGGUGGCAAGAACCGGAAGGCAGAUUACUAUCUGAAUGGUGUCAAGUUAGGAAAAGGGGAAGUACAACGAGAUCUAGGUGUCCUUGUUCAUCAGUCACUGAAAGUAAGCAUGCAGGUACAGCAGGCAGUGAAGAAAGCUGAUGACAUGCUGGCCUUCAUAACAAGGGGAAUUGAGUAUAGGAGCAAAGAGGUCCUUCUGCAGUUGUACAGGGCCCUGGUGAGACCACUCCUGGAAUAUUGUGUACAGUUUUGGUCUCCAAAUUUGAGGAAGGAUAUUCCAGCUAUUGAGGGAGUGCAGCAUAGGUUCACGAGGUUAAUUCCCGGGAUGGCGGGACUGUCAUAUGUUGAAAGAUUGGAGCGACUGGGGUUGUAUACACUGGAAUUUAGAAGGAUGAGAGGGGAUCUGAUUGAAACAUAUAAGAUUAUUAAGGAAUUGGACACGCUAGAGGCAGGAAACAUGUUCCUGAUGUUGGGGGAGUCCAGAACCAGAGGCCACAGUUUAAGAAUAAGAGGUAGACAAUUUAGAACGGAGUUGAGGAAAAAGUUUUUCACACAGAGGGUUGUGGUUCUGUGGAAUGCUCUGCUCAGAAGGCAGUGGAGGCCAAUUCUCUGGAUUCUUUCAAAAAAGAAUUAGAUAGAGCUUUUAAAGAUAGCAGAGUGAAGGGAUAUGGGGAGAAGGCAGGAAAAGGGUACUGAUUGUGGAUGAUCACCCAUGAUCACAG